rnacentral:rRNA from 1 species
UACGAAGGGGGCUAGCGUUGUUCGGAUUUACUGGGCGUAAAGCGCACGUAGGCGGAUUGUUAAGUCGGGGGUGAAAUCCUGGAGCUCAACUCCAGGACUGCCUUCGAUACUGGCAAUCUAGAGUCCGGAAGAGGUGAGUGGAACUCCUAGUGUAGAGGUGGAAUUCGUAGAUAUUAGGAAGAACACCAGUGGCGAAGGCGGCUCACUGGUCCGGUACUGACGCUGAGGUGCGAAAGCGUGGGGAGCAAACAGGG